UAGGGAAUCUUCCGCAAUGGGCGAAAGCCUGACGGAGCAAUGUCGCGUGAGUGAAGAAGGCCUUCGGGUCGUAAAACUCUGUUAUAAGAGAAGAACAAAUUGUAGAGUAACUGCUACAGUCUUGACGGUAUCUUAUCAGAAAGCCACGGCUAACUACGUGCCAGCAGCCGCGGUAAUACGUAGGUGGCAAGCGUUGUCCGGAUUUAUUGGGCGUAAAGGGAGCGCAGGUGGUUUCUUAAGUCUGAUGUGAAAGCCCACGGCUUAACCGUGGAGGGUCAUUGGAAACUGGGAAACUUGAGUACAGAAGAGGAAUGUGGAACUCCAUGUGUAGCGGUGGAAUGCGUAGAUAUAUGGAAGAACACCAGUGGCGAAGGCGACAUUCUGGUCUGUUACUGACACUGAGGCUCGAAAGCGUGGGGAGCAAACAGG
rnacentral:rRNA from 1 species